rnacentral:misc_RNA from 1 species
GUGCUUGCCUGUUACACUGAGAGCCUGCCCAGAGGCCGGUAGCGCAGCACAAUGCGGGUGUUGUUUCUCCACCCGGACCUGGGUAUCGGUGGCGCCGAGCGGCUGGUGGUGGACGCUGGACUGGCACUGCAGCGGCGCGGCCACCAGGUCUCGUACGUCACCGCCCACCACGACCGGCAGCACUGCUUCCCCGAGACGCGCGACCAGCUGCCGGUGACGGUGCGCGUCGCCUGGCUGCCCGGCUCCGUCUGCGGCCGCCUGCGCGCCCUCUGCGUUUACGUGCGCAUGCUGUACGCGGCGCUGUGCGUGGUGCUGGCGCCCGGACCGCGGCCCGACCUGGUGUUCUGCGACCAGGUGUCGGCGUGCGUGCCGCUGCUGCGCUGGGCCGGCCUGCGCGUGCUCUUCUACUGCCACUUCCCGGACCAGCUGCUGACGGCGCGCCGCUCGGCGCUGAAGCGGCUCUACCGGGCGCCGCUCGACUGGCUCGAGGAGCGCUCCACGGGCGCCGCGCACCGCGUGCUCGUCAACAGCGCGUUCACGGGCGGAGUGUUCGCCGAGACGUUCCCCAGUCUGCGCGCCGGCCGGCAGCCGGACGUGCUGUACCCCUCGCUGGACCUGGCCGCCUUCGACGCGCCCCUGGAGACCACCGUGGAGCAGGUGCUGGGCGCCCCUCCGCCGCCGCACCUCCUCCUCUCCCUGAACCGGUUCGAGCGCAAGAAGAACCUGGCGCUGGCCCUGGAUGCGCUGGCGGAGAUGGAACGUCUUGACGCGGCGGCCGUGAGCCGCUGCCACCUGGUGUUAGCCGGCGGCUACGACCCGCAGAACGCCGAGAACAUCGCACACCUGGCGGAGCUGGAGGCGCACGCCGCCGAGCUGGGGGUAUCGGAGCGCGUUACCUUCCUCCGCUCGCCCAGCGACGCCGCCAAGCGCGCCCUGCUGCGCGCCGCCACGGCGGUCGUCUACACGCCCGACCGCGAGCACUUUGGUAUCGUGCCGCUGGAGGCGAUGUACUGCGGCGCGCCGGUGGUGGCCGCGGCCAGCGGCGGCCCGCUGGAGACGGUCGUCAGCGGCCAGACGGGCCUGCUGUGCGAGCCGCGCGCGCAGGAGUUCGCCGCUGCCCUGCUGCGGCUGGUGACCGAGCCAGAGACGGCGCGGCGGAUGGGGGAGGCCGGCCGCCGGCGCGUGCUGGAGAACUUCUCGUUCCAGGCGUUCGGUGAUCGGCUGGAGAAGAUAGUGACUGAGGUGGUGGCUGAGACGGCUGGGCAACCGGCGGCUGGAGCUGAAGCUACCAACGGAGCUUCAGUGGUGUUAAAAUGAGGCUAUUGGCGAAAUCCAGCAGGAUACUCAAACGCUCUCUGUCAGCGCCUGCCGUCGGAGAUGGCCCUCAAGGCCGCGUCCGAGCGUUGGCCACGGCUGCGCCAGAGAUGCCGCCCUGCGACUUUGUGCCUG